UCAUUUUGCUCAGUGCAGAGUGGCCAAAAACAAGUUGUAUUGGGAAAAGGAGAAAAAGAGAGGAGAGAAAGAAGGAAAGAAAAGAGAAAAAGAAAAAAGAAAAAAAGAGAAGAGAAAGAGAAAGAAAAAGAAAGGAAAAAAGGGGGUGGGGGAAGCAAACAAAUCAAGAAGCAAAACAAACAAACAAACAAACAAACAAAAACCACCGGGGAGUAUCUUCUGAUUCUGUGUACUUUAAGUCCCUUGACUUCUCCUGGAACUUGUCCGUCUUGCUGGUCUUCUGGGGGAGGGGCCUGUUGUGCUGAUUUUCAGGUGUUAGCACUUGGGGGAGCUGCUCUGCCCCUGCCUGGUGCAGGGCUCAGUGGGGGCUGUUUACCCCGUGAGGCCCCAGGAGGAACAACGGCAGUGGCGGGGCCAGCUCUGGAGCCCUGGAGUCAGCUCCCCGCAGUAGCUCGGGAGCUCUCCGUCUGCAGGGCCUGGAGGCUCCGGGCGGGGCCGCUGAUCUGCUCAGCUGGGGGCAGGAGCGUCCUUGCAGUCCUGGGCCCUCCCGGCCUCUGCCUGUCCCGGGGGGAGGCCGGAUCCUGGGCUGUGUCCCGGCGCCCUGUGCUCUGGGGCCUGCGCUGUUGGAUUCGUGCUCCCGGCCGCGCAGACACCCUCUGCGGAGCCGCCGCCCGAGCCCCUCCGAGCUGCUCCCGCCCCGCAGCCCCCUCCGCGGAGCCUCUUCCUCCGCCCGAGCCCCUCCAGCUGCUCCGGGUCCCGCCGUGCGCGCUGCAGCCCUUAGGGAGCUCGGCGCACAGUCCCGGGGCGCAGGUGUCUGUUAGUGUCCCCGGGAGCCCGAGGGCAUCCCCGCCCUCCUGGGUCCUGCUCCACCUCCCCGCGAGCCCCUUUCCGCCCGGGAAGGUCGGUGCAGCUCCUGCUCCUCCGGGACGGGGCUCUCCUGUCCUGGGGACUCUCGCCCCGGCCUCAGCCCGGCUCCUCGCGGGGCCCCUCCCCCUUGGAGGCCUUUUGUUUCUUUAUUUCUUUUUCCCCGUCUUCCUACCUUGA
rnacentral:lncRNA from 1 species